AGGAUAUUUUAUUCCUUUCAGAUUGGCAUCGGAGAAUGUAAUCUUGUCUUUGACCCUUCUCUUCUUCUGCUGCUCCUCUUCAGCUUAGCUUGGCUUAGAUGUAGGGUUGCCACCUGCCCCCCAAAGAAGGCGUGGAACACUCCCACCAUAGGCCCAUCUUCUAGAGGACCUCACAUCAAGGUGGUUCAGGCCUGGAUUCUUCUCUUUUCGACCUCAGUUGUCCUUUCCUGAUGAGUGCUUCAAUCUUAUCUUCGAGUUGUA
rnacentral:lncRNA from 1 species